rnacentral:rRNA from 1 species
GAUGAACGCUGGCGGCGUGCCUAAUACAUGCAAGUCGAGCGAACAGACGAGGAGCUUGCUCCUCUGACGUUAGCGGCGGACGGGUGAGUAACACGUGGAUAACCUACCUAUAAGACUGGGAUAACUUCGGGAAACCGGAGCUAAUACCGGAUAAUAUAUUGAACCGCAUGGUUCAAUAGUGAAAGACGGUUUUGCUGUCACUUAUAGAUGGAUCCGCGCCGCAUUAGCUAGUUGGUAAGGUAACGGCUUACCAAGGCAACGAUGCGUAGCCGACCUGAGAGGGUGAUCACCCACACUGGAGCUGAGACACGGUCCAGACUCCUACGGUAGGCAGCAGUCGGGAAUCUUCCGCAAUGAUCGAAAGCCUGACGCAGCAACGCGGAGUGAGUGAUGAAAGUCUUCGGAUCGUAAAACUCUGUUAUUAGGGAAGAACAAAUGUGUAAGUAACUAUGCACGUCUUGACGGUACCUAAUCAGAAAGCCACGGCUAACUACGUG